rnacentral:tRNA from 1 species
CAGAAUAUAGUUUAUUAAAAAUAUUAGUUUUGGAGACUAAAGAAAUAUUGUUUUAUUAUUCUGA